rnacentral:rRNA from 1 species
GCUGAAGCCUGGGUGCUUGCAUCUGGGUGGAUGAGUGGCGAACGGGUGAGUAACACGUGAGUAACCUGCCCCUGAUUUCGGGAUAAGCCCGGGAAACUGGGUCUAAUACCGGAUACGACCACCUGCCGCAUGUUCUGUGGUGGAAAGUUUUUUCGAUUGGGGAUGGGCUCGCGGCCUAUCAGUUUGUUGGUGGGGUAAUGGCCUACCAAGGCGACGACGGGUAGCCGGCCUGAGAGGGCGACCGGCCACACUGGGACUGAGACACGGCCCAGACUCCUACGGGAGGCAGCAGUGGGGAAUAUUGCACAAUGGGGGAAACCCUGAUGCAGCGACGCAGCGUGCGGGAUGACGGCCUUCGGGUUGUAAACCGCUUUCAGCAGGGAAGAAGCCGUGAGGUGACNGUNCCUGCAGUAGAAUUACCGGCUAACUACGUGCCAGCAGCCGCGGUAAUACGUAGGGUACGAGCGUUGUCCGGAAUUAUUGGGCGNAAAGAGCUCGUAGGUGGUUGGUCACGUCUGCUGUGGAAACG